CAAGUCGAGGGGCAGCAUGAACUUAGCUUGCUAAGUUUGAUGGCGACCGGCGCACGGGUGAGUAACACGUAUCCAACCUGCCCUUUACUCGGGGAUAGCCUUUCGAAAGAAAGAUUAAUACCCGAUAGCAUAAUGAUUCCGCAUGGUUUCAUUAUUAAAGGAUUCCGGUAAAGGAUGGGGAUGCGUUCCAUUAGAUAGUAGGCGGGGUAACGGCCCACCUAGUCUUCGAUGGAUAGGGGUUCUGAGAGGAAGGCCCCCACAAUGGGACUGAGACACGGCCCAUACUCC
rnacentral:rRNA from 1 species